rnacentral:rRNA from 1 species
AUUGAACGCUGGCGGCAGGCCUAACACAUGCAAGUCGAGCGGGGUUUUCGGACCUAGCGGCGGACGGGUGAGUAAUGCGUAGGAAGCUACCCGAUAGAGGGGGAUACCAGUUGGAAACGACUGUUAAUACCGCAUAAUGUCUACGGACCAAAGUGUGGGACCUUCGGGCCACAUGCUAUCGGAUGCGCCUACGUGGGAUUAGCUAGUUGGUGAGGUAAUGGCUCACCAAGGCGACGAUCCCCAGCUGGUUUGAGAGGAUGAUCAGCCACACUGGAACUGAGAAGCGGCCCAGAUUCCUACGGGAGGCAGCAGUGGGGAAUAUUGGACAAUGGGCGCAAGCCUGAUCCAGCCAUGCCGCGUGUGUGAAGAAGGCCUUCGGGUUGUAAAGCACUUUCAGUAGGGAGGAAGGGCGUUGUGUUAAUAGCACAGCAUUUUGACGUUACCUACAGAAGAAGCACCGGCUAACUCUGUGCCUGCCGCCGCAGUAACAC